CCGCCUUGCCGCAAGUCCCCCUCAGCACCUCACCAUCACGGGGCAUGUCUGGGCUUGUCUGCUCAAGACCUGGCCUCCAUUAAGGCUCAGCUCAGCACAGGACAGCCCAGCCAGCGCCCGCCCUAUCCUCCCCUUUCAAAGGGCAGCAGCUAACCAGGGCUUUUUGUCCCUGUGGGGUUUUUAGAUCAGCAUUUGUCCUCAUCACAGACCUUUUUUCUCUGUGGUUCGUGUCUUCUGCUUACACUCACUCCGUGCCUAUCCAAACUGCUCGCAUCCCGUCACCCCUGGGAUUCCCUGUCUCCCCGAGGACUUCAGCAUCCAAGUCAUAAUCCUCGGGGUCUCAGCAUCCAGACUGCCCCUUCCAGGCCAUCUCAUCUCCUUGCCUCCUCUCACUUGAUCUUUGCCAUCCCGCUGCCUGGCUCCCCCGAAUUCCUCUGCCUGCCAGUCCCUCAGGCCAUCACCUGACCCCCAAGCGUCCCUUCCACGGCAUCUGCCCUUCCAGGCUAGCAGGCUGUGGGGCGUCUUAUUGAACUUGCACUCUGUAGCCAAACUGCUUGCAUGCAAGUCCAAGUCUCCCGAGUCUCCUUUGCCUUGUCUUGUGAGCGGGUGUGAUGGUGCAGAGAGCCAUCUCCACUCUCCGGGGAUCAUUGAGAGGGUUCUGGUAGACGGUGCACGGAGAGUGCUUAGCCCAGUAACAGAUGCCUGGCACAGCACGAACACGCGGCAGGGGUCAGCGGCGACCUUCCCGGGUGGCCCCCAAUCUCCGCUAGCUCUAGCUGCUGUAGGAAGCACCUGCACCCGGUCACGAGUCCCUGCGCUGGGCCACACCACCCAUCCCCGAGCUCGAGUGCAGGGCAGCCUCUUCUUUCUCCACUUCCUCCCCUCAGGGCUGGCGGAACCCCUAAGACGGGAUGGAAUAAUUCCACUACAGACCCCACUCCUGUGUGUGUCUCAACCAUUCCUCCUGCACUUGGGAACAGGUUUCAUCUCCUUUACCAGGCCCCGAGCGUCACCACCCCUGCUCUUCACUGCCCCCAUCUGCAGAAAACGGGCUCGGCAGGAGGCUGAGCACCUGCAUGUGCGGAGAGAGCGUCCGCUGUGCUCCCGACCUCGGUGUGAUCUUCCUGGGCCCACAUGGAUUCUGUUCCAUCCUUCCCGAGCCGGAGCUUCCUGCGGUGGCCCACGGGGCGGGGGGGGGGGGGGGGCAUUCCUGCGCCCCAGCACCUUUGCCACCAGCGCGCAUCUCCUCCCGUCCUCAGCCCACUGGGGCUCCCGCCCGCAAGCUCGGGCAAGGAAGUCUCUCGUUGGCUCGUGCUGAUUCUCCUU
rnacentral:lncRNA from 1 species